UACGGAGGGUGCAAACGUUGCUCGGAAUCAUUGGGCGUAAAGCGCACGUAGGCGGCUUCUUAAGUCGGGUGUGAAAGCCCUCGGCUCAACCGAGGAAGUGCAUUCGAAACUGGGGGGCUUGAAUACUGGAGAGGAUGGCGGAAUUCCCGGUGUAGAGGUGAAAUUCGUAGAUAUCGGGAGGAACACCAGCGGCGAAGGCGGCCAUCUGGACAGAUACUGACGCUGAGGUGCGAAAGCGUGGGGAGCAAACAGG
rnacentral:rRNA from 1 species